UACGGGGGGAGCAAGCGUUGUUCGGAUUUACUGGGCGUAAAGGGCGCGUAGGCGGCGUGACAAGUCACUUGUGAAAUCUCCGGGCUUAACUCGGAACGGUCAAGUGAUACUGUCGUGCUAGAGUACAGAAGGGGCAACUGGAAUUCCCAGUGUAGUGGUGAAAUUCGUAGAUAUUCGGAAGAACACCAGUGGCGAAGGCGGCUCACUGGUCCGGUACUGACGCUGAGGUGCGAAAGCGUGGGGAGCAAACAGG
rnacentral:rRNA from 1 species